rnacentral:rRNA from 1 species
AACACGUGGAUAACCUACCUAUAAGACUGGGAUAACUUCGGGAAACCGGAGCUAAUACCGGAUAAUAUAUUGAACCGCAUGGUUCAAUAGUGAAAGACGGUUUUGCUGUCACUUAUAGAUGGAUCCGCGCCGCAUUAGCUAGUUGGUAAGGUAACGGCUUACCAAGGCAACGAUGCGUAGCCGACCUGAGAGGGUGAUCGGCCACACUGGAACUGAGACACGGUCCAGACUCCUACGGGAGGCAGCAGUAGGGAAUCUUCCGCAAUGGGCGAAAGCCUGACGGAGCAACGCCGCGUGAGUGAUGAAGGUCUUCGGAUCGUAAAACUCUGUUAUUAGGGAAGAACAAAUGUGUAAGUAACUAUGCACGUCUUGACGGUACCUAAUCAGAAAGCCACGGCUAACUACGUGCCAGCAGCCGCGGUAAUACGUAGGUGGCAAGCGUUAUCCGGAAUUAUUGGGCGUAAAGCGCGCGUAGGCGGUUUUUUAAGUCUGAUGUGAAAGCCCACGGCUCAACCGUGGAGGGUCAUUGGAAACUGGAAAAACUUGAGUGCAGAAGAGGAAAGUGGAAUUCCAUGUGUAGCGGUGAAAUGCGCAGAGAUAUGGAGGAACACCAGUGGCGAAGGCGACUUUCUGGUCUGUACUGACGCUGAUGUGCG